rnacentral:rRNA from 1 species
GACGAACGCUGGCGGCGUGCUUAACACAUGCAAGUCGAACGGAAAGGCCCUGCUUUUGUGGGGUGCUCGAGUGGCGAACGGGUGAGUAACACGUGAGUAACCUGCCCUUGACUUUGGGAUAACUUCAGGAAACUGGGGCUAAUACCGGAUAGGAGCUCCUGCUGCAUGGUGGGGGUUGGAAAGUUUUGGCGGUUGGGGAUGGACUCGCGGCUUAUCAGCUUGUUGGUGGGGUAGUGGCUUACCGAGGCUUUGACGGGUAGCCGGCCUGAGAGGGUGACCGGCCACAUUGGGACUGAGAUACGGCCCAGACUCCUACGGGAGGCAGCAGUGGGGAAUAUUGCACAAUGGGCGGAAGCCUGAUGCAGCAACGCCGCGUGCGGGAUGACGGCCUUCGGGUUGUAAACCGCUUUCGCCUGUGACGAAGCGUGAGUGACGGUAAUGGGUAAAGAAGCACCGGCUAACUACGUGCCAGCAGCCGCGGUGAUACGUAGGGUGCGAGCGUUGUCCGGAUUUAUUGGGCGUAAAGGGCUCGUAGGUGGUUGAUCGCGUCGGAAGUGUAAUCUUGGGGCUUAACCCUGAGCGUGCUUUCGAUACGGGUUGACUUGAGGAAGGUAGGGGAGAAUGGAAUUCCUGGUGGAGCGGUGGAAUGCGCAGAUAUCAGGAGGAACACCAGUGGCGAAGGCGGUUCUCUGGGCCUUUCCUGACGCUGAGGAGCGAAAGCGUGGGGAGCGAACAGGCUUAGAUACCCUGGUAGUCCACGCUGUAAACGGUGGGUACUAGGUGUGGGGUCCAUUCCACGGGUUCCGUGCCGUAGCUAACGCUUUAAGUACCCCGCCUGGGGAGUACGGCCGCAAGGCUAAAACCCAAAGGAAUUGACGGGGCCCCGCACAAGCGGCGGAGCAUGCGGAUUAAUUCGAUGCAACGCGUAGAACCUUACCUGGGUUUGACAUGGAUCGGGAGUGCUCAGAGAUGGGUGUGCCUCUUUUGGGGUCGGUUCACAGGUGGUGCAUGGCUGUCGUCAGCUCGUGUCGUGAGAUGUUGGGUUAAGUCCCGCAACGAGCGCAACCCUUGUUCACUGUUGCCAGCACGUUAUGGUGGGGACUCAGUGGAGACCGCCGGGGUCAACUCGGAGGAAGGUGGGGAUGACGUCAGGUCAUCAUGCCCCUUAUGUCCAGGGCUUCACGCAUGCUACAAUGGCUGGUACAGAGAGUGGCGAGCCUGUGAGGGUGAGCGAAUCUCGGAAAGCCGGUCUCAGUUCGGAUUGGGGUCUGCAACUCGACCUCAUGAAGUCGGAGUCGCUAGUAAUCGCAGAUCAGCAACGCUGCGGUGAAUACGUUCCCGGGGCU